rnacentral:rRNA from 1 species
CAGUCGCCGCGGGAAUACGGAGGGGGCUAGCGUUGUUCGGAAUUACUGGGCGUAAAGCGUGCGUAGGCGGCUUUGUAAGUUAGAGGUGAAAGCCCAGGGCUCAACCCUGGAAUUGCCUUUAAGACUGCAUCGCUUGAACGUCGGAGAGGUGAGUGGAAUUCCGAGUGUAGAGGUGAAAUUCGUAGAUAUUCGGAAGAACACCAGUGGCGAAGGCGACUCACUGGACGACUGUUGACGCUGAGGCACGAAAGCGUGGGGAGCAAACAGGAUUAGAUACCCGUGUAGUCCCUGUCUCUUAUAA